rnacentral:rRNA from 1 species
UACGGAGGGUGCAAGCGUUAAUCGGAAUUACUGGGCGUAAAGCGCACGCAGGUGGCUGAGUAAGUCGAUUGUGAAAGCCCUGGGCUUAACCUGGGAAUUGCAGUCGAUACUGCUCGGCUAGAGUAUGGGAGAGGGUAGUGGAAUUCCCGGUGUAGCGGUGAAAUACGUAGAGAUUGGGAAGAACACCAGUGGCGAAGGCGGCUAUCUGGACGGUUUCUGACGCUAAGACGCGAAAGCGUGGGGAGCAAACAGG